rnacentral:rRNA from 1 species
UCUCAGUUCGGAUUGUAGGCUGAAACUCGCCUACAUGAAGCUGGAGUUACUAGUAAUCGCAGAUCAGAAUGCUUCGGUGAAUGCGUUCCCGGGUCUUGUACACACCGCCCGUCACACCACGGGAGUUGGAGACGCCCAAAGCCGAUUAUCUAAUCUUUUGGAAGAAGUCGUCGAAGGUGGAAUCAAUAACUGGGGUGAAGU